AAAUAUAUCACUCUCUGCAAUUAUAUACAGUUUUGUUUGUUUAAUUUCCAUCUCUUAGCACAAGUCUGUGAGUUCCACGAGGUUAGUAAAUUGAUGCUCUGGUUCACCUGUGUACCCAGUGUAUUAGUGUUUGGUGUGUCUCCAGCAAUUGCUAUUUGUUGAAUGAAUGCCUAAAUUAUCAGGAAAUGCUGGGGUAAAGACAUUAAGGUGGUAACACUCAUCAUAUAUUUAAUUGUUUUUAGGAAUUCUUCAACAUAUGAAAGAGUAAUAUGAUUAUCACCCUAGAAGAAUGUUAUAGAAAAAUACUGGAGACCCUUUGAGGGCAGAGAUCAUUCUAUUUUGCUUUGUAUCUUCCACAUUGACUGGAGCAGUAUUUUGUAAAUAAAAGCAUUAUGGUUAAUACUCACUGAAUUAAUUCAUGAAUGCAUUGAUGAGUUAAAAAAAUUUUCUAAAGCAGGAGCACACUUUAUGUUUGUUACAUUAUUUCUCCCUAACCAGUACUUUACUAUGGGUACUACUUUAAAAAACAAGGAUUAGUGCACGUGACUGAAUAUGCCUGGUUUUUACAGUAACUUUGGGCCUUAAAGACAUUAGGGAUCCCCUCCUAGUACUAAUUAGAGAGAUAAGGAGUAUAUGAAAGUUUUUUAAUAAGCUGAUUAUAGAGCAACACCAGUGUGGAGCAACAAAUCAUCUUAUCAUCUAGAAUAAUGCAUGAGAUUCAAGGAGACAAACAGUAUUUAUUAUAUUAAAAAAUUACACUGUCCAUUUAGUAUAAAAGAACCAGAUAAAACUGGUUAUGUUACAAGGAAAAUGCUUAGACGUAAUUAGCAUUUCCAGAUGAAUUUUGCUUUUAUGUAUUAGUAUCCUAUUGAAGUUCUUAGGGUAGAAAGCAUUUAUGAUUACUGGCAGGUGUUCACAAGCAUAUUUUACUAUGAGCAGUGCAUUAAAAACUAAAGAUUGACUCAUCUCAACAACCCCUGUGUAGAAAACUCUUCAGGUGGUCUUGGAUUAGGAGUUCCGCUUUUGGCACAGCAGAAACGAAUCCGACUAGGAACCAUGAGCUUGAAGAUUCCAUCUCUGGCCUCGUUCAGUGGGUUACAGAUCCUGCGUUGCCAUGAGCUGUGGUGUAUGUUGCAGAUGUGGUUUGGACCCGUGUUGCUGUGGCUGUGGUGUAGGCGGGCAGCUGGAGCUCCGAUUGGACCCCUAGCCCGGGAACCGCCAUGUGCCGCGGGAGCAGCCCUAAAAAGGCAAUAAAUAAAUAAUCCUUAACAGGCCAAUGUUUAAAGUCAGUAUAAGUGUAUUGACUUUAUAUAAAUUCACUGUCUAGCUUCUUUAUUAAUUUGUUAACUAAUUCACCUAAUGUUAUAGAGUUAUGAGCCAAAUAAUCUUAAGCACCAAAGAUAAGGAAGAUGUCAUAAAACCUUCCUUUCCUGAACAUAUAAUGGGCCAAAAAUCUGAAGUGAAUAUAAGAGAGAAGAAAGCUAAGGUGCAAAAGGAGUGUUUUUUAAAUUUUAAUGAGUAUAUGAAUCACCUGGAUGGGGAGGAUAUAGCCUUGUUGAUAUAAUUAUUGAAUUGAGUGAUACUGAAUUGAUAGGUUUGGGGUGGAAACUGAAUAUUUUCAUUUCUAACAAGCUCCCAGAUGCUGCUGCUGAUUUUUGAACAACACUACAAAUGAGGAGUAAACAUAAAACAAAGAAGAGAGGUCUUUGAUUUUCUGAACCUGUCAGUGAUUUGAAUAUAUGGAAGGGUAAAAGCAAGACAUAUUUACACUGAAAUGCUGAAGAGCCUUGUAUGCACACAUGAGGGUACUCUGAUCUGCACUUCCAAGCCCUGUUAUUAUCAUAUGCAAAUAGCCCUUUGACCACCCUUCACAGCUAUAGCUCUGCCUAACUUUGAGAGAACCAGCCUGAGAACAGUGCCCACUCAGGCCCUGGAAACAUGCUUGGGGAAAAGAAUUCUAGGUGCUUUAAGAUAUAAAUUGCUGGGAUUUCCCAUCAUGGCUCAGCAGUUAAUGAACCUGACUAGUGUCCAUGAGGAGGCGGGUUCAAUUCCUGGCCUCGCCCAGUGGGUUAAUGAUCUGGCAUUGCUAUGAGUUGUGGUGUAGGUCACAGAUGUGGCUCCAAUCUCGAGAUGCUAUGGCUGUGGUGUAGGCUGGCAGCUCCAGCUCCAAUUUGACGCCUAGCCUGGGAACCUCCAUAUGCCUCAGGUGU
rnacentral:lncRNA from 1 species